AGGAGCUUGCUCCUCUGACGUUAGCGGCGGACGGGUGAGUAACACGUGGAUAACCUACCUAUAAGACCUGGUAUAACUUCGGGGAAACCCGGAGCUAAUACCGGAUAAUAUAUUGAACCGCAUGGUUCAAUAGUGAAAGACGGUUUUGCUGUCACUUAUAGAUGGAUCCGCGCCGCAUUAGCUAGUUGGUAAGGUAACGGCUUACCAAGGCAACGAUGCGUAGCCGACCUGAGAGGGUGAUCGGCCACACUGGAACUGAGACACGGUCCAGACUCCUACGGGAGGCAGCAGUAGGGAAUCUUCCGCAAUGGGCGAAAGCUUGACGGAGCAACGCCGCGUGAGUGAUGAAGGUCUUCGGAUCGUAAAACUCUGUUAUUAGGGAAGAACAAAUGUGUAAGUAACUAUGCACGUCUUGACGGUACCUAAUCAGAAAGCCACGGCUAACUACGUGCCAGCAGCCGCGGUAAUACGUAGGUGGCAAGCGUUAUCCGGAAUUAUUGGGCGUAAAGCGCGCGUAGGCGGUUUUUUAAGUCUGAUGUGAAAGCCCACGGCUCAACCGUGGAGGGUCAUUGGAAACUGGAAAACUUGAGCGCAGAAGAGGAAAGUGGAAUUCCAUGUGUAGCGGUGAAAUGCGCAGAGAUAUGGAGGAACACCAGUGGCGAAGGCGACUUUCUGGUCUGUAACUGACGCUGAUGUGCGAAAGCGUGGGGAUCAAACAGGAUUAGAUACCCUGGUAGUCCACGCCGUAAACGAUGAGUGCUAAGUGUUAGGGGGUUUCCGCCCCUUAGUGCUGCAGCUAACGCAUUAAGCACUCCGCCUGGGGAGUACGACCGCAAGGUUG
rnacentral:rRNA from 1 species